GGGGCCAUAGCUCAGCUGGGAGAGCGCCUGCCUUGCACGCAGGAGGUCAUCGGUUCGAUCCCGAUUGGCUCCACCA
rnacentral:tRNA from 1 species